UUGAGGAGCAAGCUGAGACAUGUCUGA
rnacentral:piRNA from 1 species